UUAACGACUUCCAGAAGAAGGGCCAUCACAACAUUGACGUCCACGUGCCAAACUGGAGGAUGAACUCAAAGAACACUGUUGUCGACCAUCGUGAUCUGAUACUUCUUCAACAGAAGGGUUUUAUCUCUUCCACUGCUAGUCGUUGUUAUGACGAUAACCUCCUGUUCAGAGACAGUGAACCCAAUGGAUGGAUCGUAUCAAAUGACAAGUUCAGAGAUGCCCCUGAAAGAUACAAGGAUGCUGUUGGC